AUUGGUCAUUUGAGCGACGAGGAACCAGCUCUUCCCAUUCCGAACAGAGAUCUGAAACUCGUUAGCGCUGACGAUACUAUUUUUUGGGACAAUAAGUCAUGGCCAAGG
rnacentral:rRNA from 1 species